rnacentral:rRNA from 1 species
GAUGAACGCUAGCGGCAGGCUUAAUACAUGCAAGUCGUGGGGCAGCAGGACUGUAGCAAUACAGUUGCUGGCGACCGGCAAACGUGUGCGGAACACGUACGCAACUUACCCUUAACUGGGGGAUUGCCCGGGGAAACCCGGAUGAAUACCCCGUAAUAUAAUGGAGUGGCAUCACUUUAUUAUUAAAGCUCCGGCGGUUCGGGAUGGGCGUGCGGCUGAUUAGGUAGUUGGUUGAGGUAACGGCUCACCAAGCCUACGAUCAGUAACUGGUGUGAGAGCACGCCCAGUCACACGGGCACUGCGACACGGGCCCGUCUCCUCCGGGCGGCAGCAGUACGGUAUCGUUGGCAAUGGAAGCUUCUCUGACCCAGCCAUGCCGCGUGGCGCAUGUAGGCCCUCUGGGUUGUAACCUUCUUCUAUUGGCGACGAAGCAUGUGUAUUCUUACGCAGUUGACGGUCCCCUAGGCAUAAGCCCCGUCUACCUCCCUG